rnacentral:rRNA from 1 species
GACGAACGCUGGCGGCGUGCUUAACACAUGCAAGUCGAACGGAAAGGCCCUGCUUUUGUGGGGUACUCGAGUGGCGAACGGGUGAGUAACACGUGAGUAACCUGCCCUUGACUUUGGGAUAACUUCAGGAAACUGGGGCUAAUACCGGAUAGGAGCUCCUGCUGCAUGGUGGGGGUUGGAAAGUUUCGGCGGUUGGGGAUGGACUCGCGGCUUAUCAGCUUGUUGGUGGGGUAGUGGCUUACCAAGGCUUUGACGGGUAGCCGGCCUGAGAGGGUGACCGGCCACAUUGGGACUGAGAUACGGCCCAGACUCCUACGGGAGGCAGCAGUGGGGAAUAUUGCACAAUGGGCGGAAGCCUGAUGCAGCAACGCCGCGUGCGGGAUGACAGCCUUCGGGUUGUAAACCGCUUUCGCCUGUGACGAAGCGUGAGUGACGGUAAUGGGUAAAGAAGCACCGGCUAACUACGUG